CAUAAACUGUAUUACUCCAGGUCCCUCAUUUUCAGAGCUCUCAAACUUUCAAAACUAAUACUGAUCAAAGACUUCUGGAAAAAUAGGCAGUUUCAGCUUUGAAGAUGCUUUAACAAAGAAGAGCAAGUAGGAUUUCUCAUUCAGCCAGGAUGUUCAAAACAUGUUACAAAAAUUAUUCUACUAGUUACUAAAAUACAUGGUACAAUUUUACCUCAAAAGUGAAAAAAAAUUAGUAUGAUUUCCCCAACAAAUUUCUGAUGAUGGGUUGUGACCAAAAUGGCUCGGCAGGUCUUGUGUAAGUAUUUGCGGGAUCAUUGGUUUGAUUUUCCAUAUGUUCCUCGAGUUUUGCUGUCUCUAUAAUAUCCAUGGUCCCCCAGUCUUCAGAUCAAGAAGGAGAUGCACAAAGUGAAGAAGGUGGCCAUCUGAUUACUGUUCCUUCCAUGCAGCUACCUGCUGUACACUCACCACCUUCAAGAAAGGAAGCCAAUUUUCUUUCUCCCAAAGGUGUUACU